rnacentral:lncRNA from 1 species
UAUUAGCCAUCUGAGGAUCAAGAGAAAAGUCUGAGCUCAAGGUACAGUUGAGACCAUCAGAGUAAAUGAAAUCAACCCAAAUGAAUAAGUAAAGCUAAGACUGCCAGGCAGACUAGUAUCAUAAAUGAGUGGGGACUGGUGGAGAAAGAAAAAAUACUGUACAAAUGAGUCAUCUAAAUGAGCAUGGCAAAUUUGGAAGACUAAGUCCCAUGUAAAAUCCUGCUACCCCAAAUGUGGCCCAUGGACUCUCCACACUGACAUUACUAAAAGCUUGUUAGAAAUGCAGAAUCUCAGUCCCAGCCCCAGGGCUACUAUACCCAAUAUUCAUGUUAACAGGAUUCCCAACUGAUACUCAGGCACUCUAAAAUAUGGGAAGCACAAGUCUAAAAGGUGUAAUUGUUGUUCUGCUCUAAACAAUUGUUUUGUGGUAAUACGGCCUGGUAUUAUCAUAUCUUCUGAUUUUCUUGCAGUAUUUUCCCAAUUUUAGGAGAUAGCGACUAUAACGUCAGGGUUUCAGAAGGAAGCAGUAUUACUCCAGAUGAUUUCAAAAGUAUAGCCUUCUAGCAAAGGCUGGUUAGCCCAAGAGAAUGAACAAUGCUGAGGCUUCAUGGGCCGGCAACAAUGCAGUGGGUGGGAAGCAUUACAGGCCGAUGGGGCUGAAGCCAAAGGAAAAGAAAUAACCAGAGCCUGCUAGGAGCUGGAGUGCUGGAGGAGGGACUGCUGGCUGAAGCCAGGCUAUUGCUGGAGACACAGCACUGAAGGAAGGAAUAAGUAAGAGAGAAGCACCGUGACUUCUUCUCUUCAAUGUUCUGCUGCUGUCUUCUGUUCACCAAACCCACACAUCAGCCAACACCAAGGGAGCCUGCAAGAGUCACCUUUCAAGGCAAGUGAGUAGGGCAAAAACAGGGAGAAAAAAAAAUACUGUGCAGGUCAAGCCAAAAGGUCUUUGGGUUGUAUCUGGACCAGAGAGAGAGAGCCAAGAAUGAAAUCCUGGAGCAAACCACCUGGACCACACCAUGUGGGUGCAAUCCAUUGGCUUUUUAUGUGGUGCCAUUUUGAAUGAGGAGAAAGGAUGUGGUACAAAAGAGUAGCUCAGGAUCUAAAGGAGGCCCAGAAACCACCCAAGAAUCUCCACAAAGCAGGAGCUGUCAUUCUCUGUUUACCUCUUUGUCAUGGUCUGUGCACGUGGGUCAGAAAAAAGAAUUUCCCAGCAUAGUGAGGUGAAGAGAAAGAAGAGUUUAUUGAGAUGAGAUGCUGCUAGGGCAGUGGGAUGACUUCCUGAUGAUCAGGGAAAGCCAACUUGGGCAUGUGGUCAUGUCUGUUUUUAUAACCCAGGGAAAGGAGAGGUCUUAUGAUACACCUGCUGACCUGCAGUUUGGUUGGGAAAAGAGGGGUCUUACCAUACAAUUUCUGGUUGGUUGGGGGGCUUAUAAAACCCCUAUAGGGGCAGGGUAAGGAGUGGGUUACAUACCUUUUCUAGUAGGAGGUAGGAAGGAGUAGGCCAGGUUGCUCAAGCCUGGGGAGGAGGCAUUACGAUGAGAUGGUGGGGGGUGAUAAGGGUCUGGUAAUUCUUGUCCAGAGGUUUUAAGUUCAAUCUCCUUGAAGGGGCCCUGAAGUCCAACACUUGUCUUAUCUUCCUUUCACUUUUUCUCCUAUAGCCUGCAUUCCCAGAUUUCUGUCUUUUCCCUUAGGUGAGUCCCUUUAAUGAGGAUCCCAGUGGCAUUCAUGGAAAUAAUCUGAGCCAGUUUCAUCCAACUGUUCAAACAGCAAAAAUCGGCUCCCCAUAUUGGCCACACCCCCACAAGAUGCUGGCCAAUCUGGCCAGCCACAGGUACAAAAGCACCUUGGUACUGCACUGCAUGCCUCAGAUUUUGGUGCUCACUGAACAGCUGCUUUUCUUCCUGCACAGAUGUUAAUCUUCCAUUAUGAUUAAUAGAUCAGGUGUUUAUAUUACCAAAUGUUGCCUGAUUUUCUGUAAAGUUGCCUCAUCACUGUUGUACAGUGUUUCUGCCUGGUCACAAGGGUGUCCAGUCACAAGAACAACUUGAAACAGCAGUAAAGCUAUCUUAGCAAAUGAAAUAAAUAUUUGGGGAGAAGAUAAACUCAGAUGUGUUUGUUCCAGAAUAGUAAUCACGAUAAAAUUUCCAUCUUCAUUUGUUGAUGUUUAUCCUUCUUUCGGUGGUUCUUUUGGAAUUCUUUGAUACAUUUUGUACAGUGGUAUUUUAUUUUGAUUUCUGGAAAAUUACUUGGUGAUCUGGUGUAUAAAAAUGAAAUAUCAGAGGUAAAUAUGCUUUUAAUUGUUUUUUUUGUGGUGGUGAUGAAAUUGCAUGCAUCUAUUAGCACUCCUUUCUACUGAUUCUUUAUAGGGUUAUUGUAGGACUGAAUAUUUGAUCAAAUAUUAUCCUCAUCCCAACCUACACAUUUAUCUAGAGCAAGUUUGCUAAAGUGACAAGACUUAUAAGCCUUCUCUCUCCUAGACAGAGAGAGAGAGAGAGAGAGAGAGGGUUGUUAUGUCUGUGCACCAAAAGUAUUAGGAAAUGAGUUGUUUUUAUUUGUCUUUCUUACUUUUCAUGUAGACUUCUGUUGUCCUACAUCUGGCAUAUAACAUAUGUCGAAGAACAGAAAGUUGGAAAACUCACUUGAAGACUUUUUUUUUUGGUCUUUUGUCUUUUUAGGGCCACACCCGAGGCAUAUGGAGAUUCCCCAGCUAGGGGUCCAAUAUUAUAGCUGUUGGCCUAUACCACAGCCACAAGCAACGUGGGAUCCAAGCCACAUCCUCAACCUACACCACAUCUCAUGGUAAUGCCGGAUACUUAACCCACUGAGCGAGGCCAGGGAUUGAACCUGCAACCUCAUGGUUACUAGUUGGGUUUGUUAAACACUGAGUCACGAGGGGAACUUCUCAUGUGAAGACUUUUGUUCAAAAUGGCACAUGGCAGACAACCACAAUGGAACCCAGGACAGAUGUUGUUCCUUGCCUACCUCAAUUCCAUUCCAUCUUUUUCUUUGAUAAUGCUGGGUUUUGUUUGAUAAGCUUCAGGGACUAAACCAUAAUAGGUCUAAACUAAUUAUGAUAUUCUGGUUCACUUUGCCAUUGACUGGGGAAGGACAGUGAGGGGAUGGACUUCUUCCUUUCUUUUUUUUGGUCUUUUCUAGGGCCACACCCACGGCAUAUGGAGGUUCCCAGGCUAGGGGUCUAAUUGGAGCUGUAGCCACUGGCCUAUGCCAGAGCCACAUAUGCAACCUACACCACAGCUCACGGCAACACCGGAUCCUUAACCCACUGAGCCAGGUCAGUGAUUGAACCUGAAACAUCAAGGUUCCUAGUCGGAUUUGUUAACCACUGAGCCACGAUGGGAACUCCAGGAUGGACUUCUGAGAAUAAUUUUACUCUUUGAUUGAAGGAGAGGACCAUAUGAAAGCCCUUUUUCUUUCUGCCUACCUCCUUUUUUUUUUUUUUUUAGCUUUGGUCAUUGUCAUAUGAGGAUUUAAUGCCUGGAGCUGUGGCAAUUUAUUUUGUGACAUGAGGCAAACUGCAUGAGAAUGGAAGCUGGCAUGCUAAGAAUGGUACCAAAGGAUGGACAGAAUCUGUGUCUGUGACACUAUUAUUGAAUUGGCUUUACCUUGGAAUUGCUUUAUCCUGUACUUUUGUUAAUAUCACAAUAGAGAUUUUCUAUUCCUUGCAAUUAAAAAUAGCACCUCUCUUUAGAUUUUGGAAUCCAAUUUCAAUGUUUGGUAGAAUAGGUUUUAACACACUAACAAACAAUUCUCUAGACACCAUUAGUGUGUUCUACAAUUCAAUUCAAUUCAAUUCUGACACUAGCUACCUGGAAAUAGAAUCAGAUUCCAUAGCUUAGGGGCUCAGUCCCUCCAUACUGCCCCCAUCCACAUUUCUGAUGCCAGUAGCAAAUCCAAGUUGUCACUGGGCUUCUGACCAACCAGGUGCAGACUAGAGGUUCCAAUGACCUCCUCCUUGGACUUCAGAUGCCAGUCACAAGUCCAGGUUGUUAUCUGUACUUCCAACUUGUUAUAAAUCAGGGGUUCCUACAACCCUCUCCUCAAAGUCGAUCAAUUUGCUAGAGCAGCUCACAGAAUAGAGGAACAUUCUGUUUACUGGAUUACCAAUUUACUACAAAAGGAUAUAACUUAGGAACAUCCAGAUGAAGAUAUGCAUAAGCCAAGGUUAUGGAGAAAGGACAUGGUGCUUCUGUGCCCUCUCCAGACUCUCCACAAAUCUCCAUGUGCUCCUGAACCUUCUCCUUUUGGAUUUUACUGGAUGCUUCAUUGAUAACCAUGAUGGUUUAAAUCAUUGCCUAUUGGCAACUGAACUCAAUCUCCUCUCUUCUCCCUGAGGGUCAACAGAGUGAAAGUCUUAAACCCUCUGGUCACUGGGUUGGCUCUACUGACAAUAAAUCCCCAUCCUUAAGUUACCUACCUGCUUUCCGAAGGCCACAUUAACAACACAAAAGAUACCUUUAUAGCUCUCACCACUUAGGAAAUUCCAGUGGUUUUACAAACUCCGUGCCAGAAAAGGGGAAAGAGACCAAAUAUGUAUUUUUUAUUAUAAAGCAGAAGAUCAUACCUUUGAAUACAUAGCCUCUUCCAAUUUCUCACUGACACAGGAAAAGUACUAGCAACUCAUUCCAAAAACAAAACAACAUCAAAACGCCCUUACCAUUACCCUUUCCCCUGUGCUUCUGUCACCAUAAAAGUUUAUUCACUGAGAAAUUAUCCAGGAAAGCACCACUACAUUUCACAGGCUUAGGCCAACUUCCUCUAUGAUGACUCAAGGCUCCUGACACCAAGUCAUGUUGGGUAAAUAAAGGUCCUGGUAAUAUAAAUUCCUUUCGCCAUCAUAAAGGAGAGCAUCACUGGUGUAAACAUCCUGUAUUCAAGAAGCACCAUAAUUCUCUUAUAUAAAUGUCUAAACCACAACAAUAAACAUGGCCUGUGUAUUAUUAUACAUCACAGGAAUCCACAAAGUUAUAAUUUGCUAAGGAAAGCAACAUUUCCAUUUUCUGCCUUAAUUAUCUUAUGAGCCUUCUUAUAAUCGUAAAUUCAGAUACUGAUUUUUAAAAAGCAAUUCAUCUGUACUUGUUUGCAUGUAUCAUUCUGCAAAUAGAAUGCUAGUUUAAAUGUGUUUGUGUGCAUGUGUGUGUGUGUGUGUGUGUGUUGUGUGUGUGCAUCUACCAUUCAGGAAAUACUGUCAUUUACUCAUUAAACAAACCAUUAGUAACUAAUUAAACUUGCUUAUAUGUAUACAGAUAUUCAUAGGGUUGAACUAACAUGAAAAGAAUGUCAGGAAAACCAUAUGGAAAUCAGAUCCCAUACUGAAUGGACUUCAAGAAGAGUGAACUUCCAGGACCUUGACCUUCAGCUAAACACUCUGCUUGGAAACUUGAAUGCUGACUUCAUUUUUUGUAAUAUCAAGGGCUUACUGCCAAUUUUUAGUAUACUUUGUUAUUGUAGCUCUGUUUUUUAAAGAGUCCUUGUGAUUUAGGGAUCUAAACUAAAAUAUUUACAGGUGAAAUGAAUGGUAUAACGUCUGGCAUUUGCUUUAAAAGAAUAUGGGAAGUGGGAAGUGGGAAUAUAUUGGAGACUAAAUUAGUCAUAAGCUGAUCAUUGCAGCUGAAUAUAAUCACAUGGUUACAUGAUGGCUCAUUAUACUGUUUUGUCUACUUUUAAAAAACUUUGUAAGGGAAAUCUCAAUUUUCAUGAAUUGAACAUACCUGGGUACCUGGCAUUCCGAUGAAGGAAGAAAUAUUACCAGAACCUCAGAAGACCCCAUUGGUGCCCCUCUUACUAAUAUCCUCCACUUUUCCUCUGGUGAUCACCAUCCUGGCUUCUGUUUAUACGAAUGGAACACUCAUAUAUGCCUUGGUUUUUCAUUCAAGAU